rnacentral:rRNA from 1 species
AGAAUGAACGCUAGCGAUAUGCUUAACACAUGCAAGUUGAACGUUGUUUUCGAAUCAGAAUGAGAACAAAGUAGCGAACGGGUGCGUAACACGUGGGAAUCUGCCGAACAGUUUGGGCCAAAUCCCGAAUGAAUAAAAGCUAAAAAGCGCUGUUUGAUGAGCCCACGUAGUAUUAGGUAGUUGGUUAGGUAAAAGCUGACCAAGCCUACGAUGCUUAGCUGGUCUUUUCGGAUGAUCAGCCACACUGGGACUGAGACACGGCCCAGACUCCUACGGGAGGCAGCAGUGGGGAAUCUUGGACAAUGGGCGAAAGCCUGAUCCGGCAAUAUGGCGUGAGUGAAGAAGGGCAACGCAGCUUGUAAAGCUCUUUCAUCGAGUGUGCGAUUGUGACAAGACUACGAAUAAGAACGCCCCGGCUAACUCCGCGCCAGCAGCCGC